rnacentral:rRNA from 1 species
GAUGAACGCUGGCGGCGUGCCUAAUACAUGCAAGUCGAGCGAACAGAUGAGGAGCUUGCUCCUCUGACGUUAGCGGCGGACAGGUGAGUAACACGUGGAUAACCUACCUAUAAGACUGGGAUAACUUCGGGAAACCGGAGCUAAUACCGGAAAAUAUAUUGAACCGCAUGGUUCAAUAGUGAAAGACGGUUUUGCUGUCACUUAUAGAUGGAUCCGCGCCGCAUUAGCUAGUUGGUAAGGUAACGGCUUACCAAGGCAACGAUGCGUAGCCGACCUGAGAGGGUGAUCGGCCACACUGGAACUGAGACACGGUCCAGACUCCUACGGGAGGCAGCAGUAGGGAAUCUUCCGCAAUGGGCGAAAGCCUGACGGAGCAACGCCGCGUGAGUGAUGAAGGUCUUCGGAUCGUAAAACUCUGUUAUUAGGGAAGAACAAAUGUGUAAGUAACUAUGCACGUCUUGACGGUACCUAAUCAGAAAGCCACGGCUAACUACGUG